AUUGAACGCUGGCGGCAGGCUUAACACAUGCAAGUCGAGCGAGCGGCGGACGGGUGAGUAAUGUCUGGGAAACUGCCUGAUGGAGGGGGAUAACUACUGGAAACGGUAGCUAAUACCGCAUACCAUCAGAUGUGCCCAGAUGGGAUUAGCUAGUGGGUGGGGUAAUGGCUCACCUAGGCGACGAUCCCUAGCUGGUCUGAGAGGAUGACGAGCCACACUGGAACUGAGAAACGGUCAGGACUCCUACGGGAGGAAGCAGGGGGGAAUAUUGCACAAUGGGCGCAAGCCGGAUGCAGCAAUGCCGCGUGUGGGAAGAAGGCCUUCGGGUUGUAAAGCACUUUAAGCGAGGAGGCGUUACUCGAAGAAGAAGCACCGGCUAACUCCGUGCCAGCAGCCGCGGUAAUUC
rnacentral:rRNA from 1 species